AAGGACUGUUUUUGCAGAGUGUGUGCGGGGGGCCAUUAAGUCAGACUCAGUGGUGAUUGAAACUGAAGCAGAGGGACACACCCAGAGCUGUAGCAGAGCCAAAGUAGAA